AUAAUUACCUGGCGCGGGGAUACCGUGAUCAAGAGGCGGUGCCUCCCAGGACGAGGCUGUAAUUGCAUCCGUAUGGGCUGACUCCUGCGAUACCCAAAUCGGGGUGGCUCGAGGCGCAUAAUUUUUGGUAGUGGGGACAAGCGUUCGCGUGUCCUUU
rnacentral:snRNA from 1 species